rnacentral:rRNA from 1 species
UGCGUAGGUGGUCGGCUAAGUCUUAAGUUAAAUAUUUUGACUCAAUCAAAAAAGUGCUUAGGAAACUAGUCAACUAGAGUAUAAGUGGGGUAAGUGGAAUUCCCGGUGUAGGAGUGAAAUCCGUUGAUAUCGGGAGGAACACCAAUGGCGAAGGCAACUUACUGGCUUAAUACUGACACUAAGUGCACGAAAGCAUGGGUAGCAAACG